rnacentral:lncRNA from 1 species
UGGGCAGAGUCCGGCUCCCGUAGGAGUCCAGACGAGGCUUACCAGCGGUUGAAGUUGGGGAUGGAGCCCGGCUCCCGUAGGAGUCCGGGCGGAGUCUACUUGCAGUUGGAGUUGUGGGUGGAGUCCGACUCCCGUAAGAGUCCGGACGAGGUCUGUCUGCAGCCGGAGUUGGGGAUGAGGCCCGACUCGCGUAGGGGUCCGGGUGGAGUCUUCCUGCAAUUAAAGUCAGGGGCGAAGUCCGGCUCCCGUAGGAGUCCGGACGAAGCUUACCAACAGUUGAAGUUGGGGAUGGAGCCCGGCUCCCG